rnacentral:lncRNA from 1 species
AAAACAGCUGUUUUCAGUGCAGAUUUGUUAAUUUACCAAACUAUUGAAAACAGAGCUCUUCUCACUUCCUCUCCACUGUUUUGGUCACUAAAUUCUCAGUGAAGACUUCUAGAGAAUUACACAAUUGUAAUGAGAACACUUCUGCAGUGACAUUACACUACGUUACAAGAAGUGAAGCAUGCAUGAGAAGUAGUGCUGGUUACUACAGGAGCCAAGAUUGGAUUUGUGCGCCUGGCAACUAGGUGAAAAACAAAACAAACAAAAAAUCUGAAAGUUUAAAAUAAAACCACAAACAAACUGAGAAGAGAAGAGAAGAGAAGAGAAGAGAAGAGAAGAGAAGAGAAGAGAAGAGAGAAGAACUACAAAACUCACCACCCAAAUAUUAGAAAUAAACCAUCCUCUCAACAUGACAAAAAGCACAUCUGGUACCAGAAUGAAGGCACAAUAAAUAUGAUUUUUUAUACUGUUUUACAGGGCAAAAUCAUACCUGAGAUGACACCUUAAGUUUUUAUGCAGUGACUAAGUUUUGCUACUUUGUUAUACACAUCAGAUUCUUUUAUUUCUUAAGACUUAAAACAAGUAUUUUUAGGAUUUAUUAGUAAAACAUAGGAAAGGUUAAUCAACCAGUUUAAAAGUUCUUCUAAUUGUCAACAGAAACUAAAACUUUUGUUCAUUUGUAUAUAGAAUAUGCAUCUGUACACAUACAUACAAUAUGUGUGUGUAUAUAUAUAUAAAUAUGAACAAGCCUGAGCAUCAAGUACUAAUAGAUAAAGAAUUAAAACUAGUCUAAGUGUAAUCUCAUACAGGUUACAAUGUCUUAUGAGAAGCAGUUACUCAAAUAACCAUUUGGAGUCUUUAGGUUACUAACUUUCCAUGUCUGCUUUACUUCAAAACCUUGCAGAAGAAAUGUAAAGGGCUGCCAGAGCAGCGUUAAGUAAAGUGUGUGCAGACUUUUCAAGCUUUGCCUGUUUCCUGUGGGAGAUACCACAAUUCUCAAUUCCUGUGUCCCAAAUACAAAAUUGUCUUGGUGCUGUGGAUCACAGCAGUCUAUAUUGAAGCACGAGUUGAACAGAUAUAUAGGAAACUACGUGAUGUACAAAAAACACUUCUUCCUACUUUGAAUAGUUACAGGGAUGAACUGAAUAAAGGUAAUAUAAUAAAAGAACAAUACCUGGCAUCUUCCACUUGGAAAUCAAAAGCUAAAUGUCAUCCCCACUGUAGUUCUUACCAGAAGAAUUGUAUCUCAGUGUUUCAAUGUGUUCUGUGUAUUCUGACCCAAAUACCUGCGGCAGGCCCUCCUGCCUGA